GCCUCCUGGUCCAUGGUAUGAUCGCGCUUCGGGUGCGAGAGGUCCCGGGUUCGAUUCCCGGUGAGGCG
rnacentral:tRNA from 1 species